UUGAAGACCUAGAAGACAGGAACAGUUGAUGGAACAGGGUUCUGGGGAAGGUGAAACAAGAUGAGGCUUCCCAAGCCCAGAUGAAAGGAUUACCUUCUACGAGGACAAGAGACAUCAGCGCUCCUGGUUCUUGGGCUUUCAGACUCAAACUGGAGCUUAUGCCAUUCGCUCCCCUGGCUCUCAGGCCUUCAGGUUUCGACUGGAACUACACCACGGGUUUUCCUGAGCCUCCAGCUUACCAACAGGUUCAUUGUACUAAAAACAAAAGUCAAAAGUUAUGGAAGUGUAUAAAAUAGAAAGUGGAAGCUCCCAGGCCCACUAAUAAGAGAGAAUGAAUCAAGAAAGAGGAAGACAGGGAAAGGAGAUCAGCAAAAGAAAGGCCUGACGAAACUCCACCAGAUGAUGUCACAGGGAUCCCAGAACGACAGCAGUGCAUGGAGAGGAUGACAAUCCCUUCCAAA